rnacentral:lncRNA from 1 species
GAGCGGCCAAGGGCUGAGGUGCCAGGGAAGGCCUGAGGAUGCAGGCAGGGAUGGAUAUGUGAGGUUGGCAGUUCCACGCAGCUGAGCGUCCAGCAUUCUCCCUUCCAUCCAGCAUCUCCAUGUGGUUUGAAUAGACAACAGACAAUGGGAAAACAAUGAUUCUGUAAGCAGAAGAGAGGCCUAAAAAUCAGACACUUAUCAGACAGUUGGCCUCCAACUGGGCCUGUCAUACAGUCAUCAGUAGCUGCUGGGGGACUCCAUGUUGAAAAUGGAUCCAAUUAACACAUACUGAGUGACCAAGGCUCUACUAUCAGGCCAUUAUCCAGUCUUUGGUAAGAGGACACUGUUUUACAGCCAGUAGGGCCCUGAAUUUAAG